AUGAAUUUUGGAAGUGAAUAUUGGAUGAUGGUUUUCUCCAUAACGCAACAAUGUCUUUUAGCGUUAUAUUUGCCCAUUUGUGCCGAUUCCCAAUUUCAAUUACAUUUGCAAGUGAUUACUUUUGUUGAUGUUAUUAUUACAAGUUUUCAUAUCAUCGAAUACUCGAUCAUUCUAGUACCUAGGGAAAAAGGAGUACUUUGUUUCUCACCAUAA